rnacentral:lncRNA from 1 species
CACAAAAUUUACUUAGAUACUAGUUUAUUCAUAUAAUCAAACAACACGACACACACAGCCACAAAAAUAAGGACGUUUUGAAACAUAAGUAAACAACUUGAACACAAAAGAUGACGAGAAGAAAAGUAUCUAGAUAGUAGACUCGACCAACUUAAGUCUCUGAGAGACACAAAGCAUAACAGCUUCAAGAACAAUGGUGUCUUUCACAAAGUAUCCGUUUGAUUCAUCUUUUAGCUCCUCUAGUGAUAUCAACUCAGCUUUCCCAUAACUAUCUCCACUCUCUCUCUCUCUCGCAUAAAACUGCCAAACUGUAGUCUACGGUCCUAGUUUUCUUAUAUAUUUCCAUAUCAAAAUGAAUCUAUCUCUUACAUGUUUUCUCGACAUGGUUAGUGUUUUUCUGAUUCAGUAGACGCAGCUUGAACUUUGCAUAGAUGCUAGAGAAAACUACUAUUAUACUAUUGACUUUGUUGAUCCACACCACAUUCAAGACCUAUAAACUUAUUAUAAUAUCAAUUCGGAUUAGAUAAACAUGUUUUGCGGAUCAAACUCAAACCAAGUAACUCAAACCAUGUAACUAAACCAAACCAAGUUGCUUUGGUCUAGUGGUAUAGGAGCUCCAGCUGGAGUGCCCGCCCCUGGGUUCGAGCCUUGGCCACUGCAGAAUUUACAUAUGGGCUGCAGCAUCCGUUACACGGUGAGCCACAUGGUGACGCCCUGGCAGCGUCCAUGCUCACUUCGGUCUCUAGUCUGGACCACUUCGGUGGGGUCAGGAUACUCGGUUAGCAAAAAAAAAAAACCAUGCAACUAAGCUUAAUGGUUUCAGGACAAAAAGGACUUGAUGUUUUUCUUUUCAAGAACAGAGUUUUGAAUGUUUCUGCAUAAUUCAUGUACUGUUAAAACACACACAUCUAGAUCGAUUCAACAAGAAACUAAAACACAAGACUCUCUCCAUUCAUUUAUUAUUAGCAGAACUUCGAGCUAUGUCUGUUCCUAAGAAGGUGAAAGCAAGCGACGUUCUACACAUUGGUUCAAAGCGUAUGUUUUGAGAGGAAACAUAAAAUGAUAUGAACACACAUACAUACACGCAAUUGAGAAUUUCUGACUUUCUGAGAUGUAUGGUUUGCGAAUAUAUUCUGAGAUUCGUUAGUUCUGAAUUUUCGUUACCCCAAGCUGUGCAAAUGAGAGGCCUAACGACAUGAAAUGAGACAUGUCUGCAGUGACACACAGUUACUAUAUUUACUAUUUAUGAGACUUAAGUAUUGUUGACAACUUGCAUAAUCUUAAACCAUUUCCAGAUUUAGACAUUUGGGGUUUAAGAUAUUCGCGUUUAGUCUUUAGGGAUUAUAUAUAUUUUAGGUACACUAACAACCAUGAAAACAUAAAUUAAUUCAGAUUAGCUUGAACAUGAUCUUUGCAUAAGCAACAUGUUCGAUUAGUUUCACAUUAGUUUUACAUUAUGCAGUUAGCGUCCGUGAUCAAUCAUUCAAAUACCUUAAAAAAUGUAUUUUAUCAACAAAAAAAAAACUAUUAAAAGAAAAAUACUUGUAAAGAAAAUUGAAGAUUAAUUAGAAAAUUAAAUGAAUAUAAUGUGAAGAUAAACAACCAUCAUAUCUCUUUGUGAUCUUGUUGAUUGAGUACAUUCUUUGUGAUCUUGUUUCUACAGGUAGAUUUAUACUUGCUUUCACAGGCAGCAUUUCCAACAGGAGGAUUGUAUUUCCAGAACGCGACAUGGGUUGAAGAGACAAAGGAGAAGCAUGUCAUAGUCCACAACUACAUUAUCGGUUACGACAAUAAGGUGAAACGCUUUCACGACUUUGGUCUAUGGCUAGUUGAUGAUCAUGCUUUUGAGUCCCCAUUGGGAAAGUUAGAGUGAAAUUUGAAUGCCUUGUUAUGUUAUAUGGCUAAUACAAAACAGAGGUAAAGAAAUGAGAUUCGGAAGAUGUAUGUCUUGACAUUAUUCGAAUUAUUAAUAGGUUUCUCUAGAGAUAGAGGAACAGUGUUCCCUUAUAUGUAUCUCAUCUACCACUUUAGUCUUCACCGACUCUUGCAUGAUAUCAGUCUGGAUGCGUCAGAUCAAUUAGUGGAAUUAUCUUCGGCUUGGCGAUCAUUUGACCGGAUCCAAGAAGAUGCAUGUGUUUAUAAACACUCUUUUACGUGGCCAAUGCCCAAUGGUCUCUAUGCUUUGCUUCUGGACGUUAAAAGAGUUUUGAUGUCAAUCAAGAUCCCAUUAAUUUAAUAUUGUAUUCAAUGAAAGAAAGACAGACAUUUAAAUUGAAAGGACCCAUUCUUCCUUAGUUAUUGCAUUACAUAAAUAUAUAUAUUAAUUUGAAAAAAAAAAACAUAAGGCACAAAUGAUUAUGGUAGGUAUAAGAAGGGAGCCUCCUGUUCAAAGAGGAACGCUGUGCAAGACUAGUGUCUCAACAGUGAGACCUGGUCCGAAACCAAACAAGACACCCCACUCCAACCCUUCUCCUGUCGUGGCCACACCAUCUUCGGCGGACUUCCUCCUCAUCUCGUCCAAUAUGAAGAGGACGCACGCGCUCGUCAUGUUUCCGUACUCGCUCAACACGUGACGUGUGGCCCUCAGCUUCUCUGCCUUGAGUCCUAGCUUUUUCUCAACCUCAUCAAGGAUCGCUCGACCACCAGGAUGGGCUAUCCAGAAGAGGGAGUUCCAGUCGCUUAUCCCCAGCGGUUUAAACGCUUCGUGUAGACUCUUUUCAAUGUUCUUCGAGAUGAGCCUAGGGACGUGCUUCAGGAGAUGGAAGGUGAGUCCCGCUUCCCUCAACUGUAAAUUUAUAACGCCGUCCGAGUCUGGGAGGAUGGUCUGCGCGGCAGACACCAUCUCAAAGAUUGGUUUCUCUCCCACAGAGAUGUCCGGGUCCGAACCGACAACGAGUGCGGCGGCGCCGUCACUGAAGAGGGCCUGUCCGAGGAGGGAAUCAAGGUGGGUGUCAGAGGGGCCACGGAAGAAGAGGGCUAUGAUCUCGGAGCAGACGACGAGAACACGUGCGCCACGGUUGUUCUCGGCGAGGUCCUUGGCGAGACGGAGGACAGUGGCCCCCGCGAAGCAACCUUGCUGGUACAUCAUGAGACGCUUGACAGAAGGACAAAGACCAAGGAGCUUGGUGAGCUGGUAGUCGGCACCAGGCAUGUCAACUCCUGAGGUAGUACAGAAGACAAGGUGGGUAAUCCUGGACUUGGGCUGACCCCAUUCGUUGAUGGCCUUCACUGCCGCCUCUUUGCCUAGCUUAGGGACUUCAACCACCACUAGGUCCUGUCGAACGUCGAGAGAAGGAGCCAUGUAGGCGCACAUGUUUGGAUUGUCCUUCAGAAACUCUUCCGUCAGGUGCAUGUGCCGUUUCCUUAUCCCCGAUUUGUCGCCUGUUAGUUGUUAAAUAAAUAUGCGCUAUUAGAUUAUAUGAAUCACAUUGGUUAAAGUUUCCUUUUGCCUAACCAUCGGUUUAGCUUCCUAUCACUAAACCGGAUGUAUAUAUACUUUAGAGUGUAUAGUUGUAAAGUUUAACUUGAGCAUUUUAUGUGAAUAACAAACUUCUUUACUCUGAGCUCAAGUACACUAAUAUGCGCAAAUAUAAAUGCCAAAAAUACAGAUGCAGAAAUAGAAUGUAGGGUUUGUUAAGACAUACACAUGCGCUUGAACUUCUCCUUAAGGUCGAUCAUGUGUUCGCUGUUGGUGAUGCGGAAGUAGUAGUCGGGAUACUCCGCUUGGAUCACAUGGUUCGCAGGGUUGGCCGUGCCUAUCGCCAAGAUACCUGCAGGGCCAUCUGCUCUCUGUGCCUUUCUGAUCUCGUCCAACGAAGACGGCGUGCACAUCGCUAAGAGAGUUUGAUCGAUAUGUGACUUUGUGUACUAUGCAAGUUAUGUGUAUAUAUUUUAGAAACAUGCGGGGAGUGGGAUUAUAUAAUAAGAUGACAAAGGAGAAAAAAAGAAAGGGUACGUUGGAUGAAGCACUGCAUAUCUCUAGGAUAGCUCCCUUUUUUUGUGGUUCUCAGAGCAUGACUAAGGAUUUCAUGGUUUUUAUCAUAAUAUAAGAUAAGGUCUUUUAAUUUUUAACUAAAAAAAACUAAUAAACAUUUUUUAGAGCAUGUUUAAUGCAAGUUUCUUAGCGAGAUCUCUUACUUUUAAAAUAUAAAAAAUUAAUAAAAAAUAUGAGAGAUAAAUAAGAUAUGUCUCUUAUUUAAGACAUCUCUUAGCUUAGUCUCUUAUUUUCCCAUUACGUGUCCUUUUGUAAAUGGUUUAUUUUAUUUUAUUAAAAUAAAUUUUAAUUAUAUAAUUAUUUUAUUAAUAAAAGUUAUCUAAGUGAUUCUUAUAUCUCAUAUUUAAGAGACAUCUAUUAGUUUUUUUAUUUAAAAGCUAAUAAACUAUAUUUUAUAUUAAGCUAAGAACCUUAUCAUAAGAGACAUGCAUUAAUCAUGCUCUUAGUUACUUAUCAAGAAAAUUGAAUGUGAGUUCUGUUGAUUUAUGUAUAGACGCAUCAACAAGUCAUAUUAAUUUAUAAGUUUUUAUUUAUUACAGAGAAAAUUACGUAAUAAGACCUAUGGAUAAAUUCAUUACGACCCACCGUGUUAACCAUUUGGAUCAACCACUUGGAUCGAUUGUCAAAUCUAAACUAGCCAAACAGCGAUAAUUUAACUCCUAAUAAAAAUUAAAUUAAGACCAAUGUGUGUACCCCAAGAGAUGUUUUGAUUUCGAUUAAAGAUGUUGAGAUUUUGCUCUCUGGAAGAACCUUAAAUUUUUAAAAUGGUGUUAAUCAAAUGAGAAUAAGAAUAAAUCUAUGUAUCAAAGAAGAACAAAAGCCAUGAUCCUCCUCCUCUUCGUUAACAGUUCCGACGAAAAUGAAACAAGUUGGCACAAAUAAUUCCGAUAGAUCCGAAACAGUGAAAAAAUGUUUUGUGUUUAUUGUGUGUUUUUAAAUAUUUUUCAGUUCUAGAGGUUUUCAUACGAACACUAAGAAAAUAUGGAGCAGUCAGAUUUUGUCCAUGUAGCUUAGGGUAUCUUCAAUGGGAUACAAAAAUUUUCUCCAUAUUUUACACUAAAAUAGAAUAACUCCAUUAUAGAAUUGAAUUUGUCCAAAUGGUUCACUCUAUAAUAUAGUGAAAUAUAGAAUAAUGUUAUUUUUUUACUACAAAUAUAGAAUGAAAAACAAUAUUACUCUGUAUUUCACUUUAUUAUAGAGUAAUUCUAUUAUAGAAUGAACCAUUAAAGCAAAUUUAAUUCAAUUUUAUAAUAGAAUUACUCUAUUUUAAAGUAAAAUAUAGAAUACAUUUUUGUGUACUAUUGAAGAUGGGUUUUAAACAUAUGUUCCAUAUGCAAUGGACAACUAAACGCAAUGGUAAAUAUUGGGGUCCACUCCAAUUUUCCCCAACCAACUUUCUCCAUGAAUGCCUAGCUAAUUUUUAUAGUCUUAGUUAUAUGCCCAUCAAUAUUUAACUGUUUUUAUAUUUUGUUUUGAUAGUGUAUCUUUUUUUUCCUAUAGUGUAAUCCUAUAUAGUUAAUUGUGCUCAUGGUAAUAAUAUAUGUAAAUGAAACUAUUUUCGCAAUAUAUGAUUUUUUGGCUCAUUCGUGUUGUUUUCUUCAGAAUUUUCUUUAGAACUAAAAAGAAGAAGAAAUAUAAGAUUUUAUAACGUUAUCCAAUUUUUAUACAUAUAUUAAGAUUAUUGAUCUCUGAUUUUAGCUAAAUGUCUCAUUUGACCAUGACAUACAAAUGAGCUAAACUUAUUACAGGAAGACAUCGAUUCUUGAAAAGCUUCAAAUGAUGAUAUGGACUUCAGAAUGGACUUUUAGAAUAUGUUCACGACUAUCCAUAUGGACAUCACAAAUUGGUCAACAACUUCACCGUGUCCAUAUGGACUGUAAAAACAUGGUGAAAUUUUAAGAUUAGCUAUGUGUACAAAAUUACCAAAGACAUGUUAUUUUCGUCAUCAUAUGGACAAUAUGACAUAAAAAAUAUACUAAUAUCUAACAACAUUUCUUAGACUAAAAGAAAUUUACUAAGAUACUAGUUGAUCCAUAAUCAAACAACACAUGAGACACACAGAGAAGAAAAGUAUCUAGAUAGUGGAGUCGACCAACUUAGUCUCUGAGAAACAAAGCAUAACAGCUUCAAGGACAAUGGUGUCUUUCACAAGGUAUAUCCCCUUUGAUUCAUCUUUUAGCUCCUCCAGUGAUAUCAACUCAGCUUUCCCAUAACUAUCUCCACUCUCUCUGGCAUAAAACUGCCAAACUGUAGUCUACGGUCCUGGUUUUCUUAUAUAUUUCCAUAUCAAAAUUAAUCUAUCUCUUACAUGUUUUCUCGACAUGGUUAGUGUUUUUCUGAUUCAGUAGACGCAGCUUGAACUUUGCUUAGAUGCUAUAGACUUUGUUGAUCCACACCACAUUCAAGACAUAUGCACUUAUUAAAAUAUCAAUUCGGAUUAGAUAAACAUGUUUUGCGGAUCAAACUCAAACCAUGUAACUAAGCUUAAUGGUUUCAGGACAAAAAGGACU